rnacentral:lncRNA from 1 species
UUAUAUGCAUAUUUAUUCACACACUGACAUUACUACGCUCACAUAUAAAUCUAAUAACAAACUCAUUCAUUUAUUCUAAUUCAAUUUAUAUCUUUUCUUAAUUCAUACAUAUAUGCCAAGAUCAUUAAUGGGUUCAUAAUAAAUUGAUAUCACUUAAUAAAUCACAAAUAGCCAACCAUCAAACUCAACUCAUACAACUAUUGAACACAAAGGAAAUAAACAAAAUUCACACUCAUACAACUAAUACACACAAGAAAAUAACAAAAAAGGGACCACAAGACAAAAUCAAACAUACUUCAAAAUUUAUGGAAUAUUUAUCAUGGCAAAAACGUAAACAGAGAGAAAGAGAUUACUUUCGACGACACAAUUGCAAAACGGAAACGCAAGUGAUACGGUUUAUGAUGCGAGUGAGUUUCCACAAAGACGUGCGGUCACAACUUGGUUUCCCGAUGAUGAUGACCAUGGUAGUUCGUCGGAAUCAAAAACAAUUAUUUUGACUCUUAUUCUUUCCUGUUAACUUUUUUAUUGUGUUGGUGAGAAGGAAAUGAGUUGAUAGAGAGAGAGAGUUAUGAUUGUGAAAUAAAAAUUGUUAUGAAGGAGUGUUUGUGUGAUUUUGUUUAUGGUGGUAGUGAUGUUGAAAAUGAAAUGGGAUAGUUGUUUUAUAUGUGAGAGGAAGAUGCAUAUGAAGUGGUUUUAUAUGUGUAGUAGCAGUAAAGACAUGUUGAUGAGUUAUGGAAAUGGAUGGAUGAACUGUGUAACUUUUUCUUUUCUUUCUUUUUCCAAACGCAUACUGAGAGAGAUUAUUAGAUGGGUGUAGGCGGCGUUGGAUUUU